rnacentral:rRNA from 1 species
AUUGAACGCUGGCGGCAUGCCUUACACAUGCAAGUCGAACGGCAGCGCGGGGCAACCUGGCGGCGAGUGGCGAACGGGUGAGUAAUAUAUCGGAACGUGCCCUGGAGUGGGGAUAACGUAGCGAAAGUUACGCUAAUACCGCAUACGAUCCAAGGAUGAAAGCAGGGGACCUUCGGGCCUUGUGCUCCUGGAGCGGCCGAUAUCUGAUUAGCUAGUUGGUGGGGUAAAAGCCUACCAAGGCGACGAUCAGUAGCUGGUCUGAGAGGACGACCAGCCACACUGGAACUGAGACACGGUCCAGACUCCUACGGGAGGCAGCAGUGUGGAAUUUUGGACAAUGGGGGGCAACCCUGAUCCAGCAAUGCCGCGUGUGUGAAGAAGGCCUCGGUUGUAAGCGACUUUGUUCAGGAACGAAACGGUUAGAGG